GACGAACGCUAGCGGCAGGCCUAAUACAUGCAAGUCGAACGGUAAGGCUUCUUCGGAAGUACACGAGUGGCGCACGGGUGCGUAACGCGUAUGCAACCUACCCUUCAGAGGGGGAUAGUCAUUGGAAACGAUGAAUAAUACCCCAUACGCUCAUAAGAUGGCAUUAUCUAAUGAGGAAAGUUCUGGCGCUGAAGGAUGGGCAUGCGUCCCAUUAGCUAGUUGGUAAAGUAACGGUUUACCAAGGCGACGAUGGGUAGCUGGUCUGAGAGGAUGACCAGCCACACGGGCACUGAGACACGGGCCCGACUCCUACGGGAGGCAGCAGUAAGGAAUAUUGGUCAAUGGGGGCAACCCUGAACCAGCCAUGCCGCGUGCAGGAUGACUGCCCUCUGGGUUGUAAACUGCUUUUAUGUGGGAAUAAAUAGUUUCUAUACGGAGCUUUGUAGGUACCACAAGAAUAAGCACCGGCUAACUACG
rnacentral:rRNA from 1 species